GCCAAUGAGGCCUGCCGCGUCCGUACUUCCAUCGGCACCAAACCGUCAAAAAGAAGCUAACAAGAUGUACAUUAAAGCAAUAGAAGAACUCAAGCACGAACGACCACUGCAUAUAACUUUACAGGAUGGUGACCAAGGGGAGCCUUCACGUGCUGACAUGAAAAACAUACUUGGAAAAGAUGAGUUCUUCACAAUGGAGUACAUCAAAGAAGAGACAAGUGACAGCUAUCAUUUCUGCUGAGUACUUUUAAAAAGGCAAUAAGUAGUUACCAAUUCAAUCAUCAGCUUAUUGUACUCUCCCAGUCUCCGGCAGCCAUCAAGAACUUCAGUGUUGGCUGCCUCCAUAGCGCCUUCUCCAAGCUCAAUCUGGACACGCUCCGCUGGAGGAUCUUCCAUAGUGUUUCUGUACGAGAGAACAUUCUUCCUAUGUGAAGCCGAUGCUUCUACUAAGCCAUCUUCUGUAGUUGUGCUUUACCGCAACAAAGAAAAUACCGGGAUGUAGCAUUACAUGCUUAUUUCAAAAUACAUGUACAUGAUGCACUCUUUUAUCAUCAAAGAUUGUAAAAGUCACUCAAAAAAAGUUAGUUGUUUAUAUAUGAUAUUUGUUCGGUUGUGAAUUUGUGA